UAAGUUGAAUUGUUCUUAUUUUUUCUUGUUAAGUGUCAAGAUUUAAUUUCUUUUUACAAUCAAUUAACAUUGUUAUAUUUCAAACAAUCCAUUAGCAAUGUCAAAUUAACUCACAUUGUAAAAUUUUAUCAAUAGAUAUCAACUUCAGAAAUAAAAGAAGGAACAACCUAUGAAUCAUGUGUUGGAUUGUCUUGUGCUGAUGCUGUAAUAGAAGAAAUCCCAGAUUGCACCCCUGCUUCCAAACCUGUUUCAGUGCCUACCCAUACAGACUCAAACCUUCUUUAUUUUGACCUGGAAACAACUGGACUAGGUACAUCAGCAGAAAUAACACAGCUUGCUUGCAUAUUUGAAGAAGAAACCUUUAAUAGAUUUUAACAUGUUUAGUGACAUCGUUGAGGAAAAACACACUAUUUGUAAGCAUGUCG